UAAACAAUUUGUUGAAAUUUAAUCCUGAUUUUGCUGAAGCGCAUUAUCUCAGCUACUUAAACAACCUCCGUGUCCAAGAUGUUUUCAGUUCAACACACAGUCUCCUCCAUUAUUUUGAUCGUCUGAUUCUUACCGGAGCCGAAAGCAAAAGUAAUGGGGAAGAGGGCUAUGGCCGGAGCUUGAGAUACGCCGCUCUGAAUCUUGCCGCCCUGCACUGCCGCUUCGGUCACUAUCAACAGGCAGAGCUCGCCCUGCAGGAGGCAAUUAGGAUUGCCCAGGAGUCCAACGAUCACGUGUGUCUCCAGCACUGUUUGAGCUGGCUUUAUGUGCUGGGGCAGAAGAGAUCCGAUAGCUAUGUUCUGCUGGAGCAUUCUGUGAAGAAGGCAGUACAUUUUGGGUUACCGAGAGCUUUUGCUGGGAAGACGGCAAACAAGCUGAUGGAUGCCCUAAAGGACUCUGACCUCCUGCACUGGAAACACAGCCUGUCAGAGCUCAUCGAUAUCAGCAUCGCACAGAAAACGGCCAUCUGGAGGCUGUAUGGCCGCAGCACCAUGGCACUGCAACAGGCCCAGAUGUUGCUGAGCAUGAACAGCCUGGAGGCGGUGAAUGCGGGCGUGCAGCAGAACAACACGGAGUCCUUUGCUGUCGCACUCUGCCACCUCGCAGAGCUACACGCGGAGCAGGGCUGUUUUGCUGCAGCUUCUGAAGUGUUAAAGCACUUGAAGGAACGAUUUCCGCCUAAUAGUCAGCACGCCCAGUUAUGGAUGCUAUGUGAUCAAAAAAUACAGUUUGACAGAGCAAUGAAUGAUGGCAAAUAUCAUUUGGCUGAUUCACUUGUUACAGGAAUCACAGCUCUCAAUAGCAUAGAGGGUGUUUAUAGGAAAGCGGUUGUAUUACAAGCUCAGAACCAAAUGUCAGAGGCACAUAAGCUUUUACAAAAAUUGUUGGUUCAUUGUCAGAAACUGAAGAACACAGAAAUGGUGAUCAGGCUCUGGCCCUCUCCAAGGAGUACCGGUUACAGUACUUGGCCUCUGAAACAGUGCUGAACUUGGCUUUUGCGCAGGUAGUCUUCAUGUGCAAGCCCUCCAGGGAAGCCUGUGGAGGUGUGAACCUGGUGACAAACUGACACCUUCCAGUGGCACUGGCUUUCCUGAGCUGUGUAUUCAGUAAGGAGGACUCGCCUCUUCAGUGAGAACACCUGCAUCAUAUUAAUGACACAGAGUGAUGCUUGAUUUAACAACAAGGGGAUGUGAAUAAAGAAAUGAGGAACACAGAUGUUCACUGAAAGCUUUUGGAAAUCAAAUUGUAUUUUAUGUUUGU
rnacentral:sRNA from 1 species